rnacentral:rRNA from 1 species
CCUACGGGUGGCAGCAGUGGGGGAUAUUGCACAAUGGGGGAAACCCUGAUGCAGCAACGCCGCGUGGGUGAAGAAGUAUUUCGGUAUGUAAAGCUCUGUCAGCAGGGAAGAAACUGACAGUACCUGACCAAGAAGCCCCGGCUAACUACGUGCCAGCAGCCGCGGUAAUACGUAGGGGGCAAGCGGUAUCCGGAUUUACGGGGUGUAAAGGGAGCGUAGACGGUUAUGUAAGUCUGGAGUGAAAGCCCGGGGCCCAACCCCGGGACUGCUCUUGGAACUGCAUGGCUGGAGUACAGGAGGGGCAAGCGGAAUUCCUAGUGUAGCGGUGAAAGGCGUAGAUAUUAGGAGGAACACCGGUGGCGAAGGCGGCCUACUGGACUGUGACUGACGUUGAGGCCCGAAGGCGUGGGGAGCAAACAGGAUUAGAUACCCCUGUAGUC